GAGUUUGAUCCUGGCUCAGGACGAACGCUGGCGGCGUGCUUAACACAUGCAAGUCGAACGGUAAGGCCCUUCGGGGUACACGAGUGGCGAACGGGUGAGUAACACGUGGGUGAUCUGCCCUGCACUUUGGGAUAAGCCUGGGAAACUGGGUCUAAUACCGAAUACACCCUGCUGGUCGCAUGGCCUGGUGGGGGAAAGCUUUUGCGGUGUGGGAUGGGCCCGCGGCCUAUCAGCUUGUUGGUGGGGUGAUGGCCUACCAAGGCGACGACGGGUAGCCGGCCUGAGAGGGUGUCCGGCCACACUGGGACUGAGAUACGGCCCAGACUCCUACGGGAGGCAGCAGUGGGGAAUAUUGCACAAUGGGCGCAAGCCUGAUGCAGCGACGCCGCGUGAGGGAUGACGGCCUUCGGGUUGUAAACCUCUUUCAAUAGGGACGAAGCGCAAGUGACGGUACCUAUAGAAGAAGCACCGGCCAACUACGUGCCAGCAGCCGCGGUAAUACGUAGGGUGCGAGCGUUGUCCGGAAUUACUGGGCGUAAAGAGCUCGUAGGUGGUUUGUCGCGUUGUUCGUGAAAACUCACAGCUUAACUGUGGGCGUGCGGGCGAUACGGGCAGACUGGAGUACUGCAGGGGAGACUGGAAUUCCUGGUGUAGCGGUGGAAUGCGCAGAUAUCAGGAGGAACACCGGUGGCGAAGGCGGGUCUCUGGGCAGUAACUGACGCUGAGGAGCGAAAGCGUGGGGAGCGAACAGGAUUAGAUACCCUGGUAGUCCACGCCGUAAACGGUGGGUACUAGGUGUGGGUUUCCUUCCUUGGGAUCCGUGCCGUAGCUAACGCAUUAAGUACCCCGCCUGGGGAGUACGGCCGCAAGGCUAAAACUCAAAGAAAUUGACGGGGGCCCGCACAAGCGGCGGAGCAUGUGGAUUAAUUCGAUGCAACGCGAAGAACCUUACCUGGGUUUGACAUGCACAGGACGCCGGCAGAGAUGUCGGUUCCCUUGUGGCCUGUGUGCAGGUGGUGCAUGGCUGUCGUCAGCUCGUGUCGUGAGAUGUUGGGUUAAGUCCCGCAACGAGCGCAACCCUUGUCUCAUGUUGCCAGCACGUAAUGGUGGGGACUCGUGAGAGACUGCCGGGGUCAACUCGGAGGAAGGUGGGGAUGACGUCAAGUCAUCAUGCCCCUUAUGUCCAGGGCUUCACACAUGCUACAAUGGCCGGUACAAAGGGCUGCGAUGCCGUGAGGUGGAGCGAAUCCUUUCAAAGCCGGUCUCAGUUCGGAUCGGGGUCUGCAACUCGACCCCGUGAAGUCGGAGUCGCUAGUAAUCGCAGAUCAGCAACGCUGCGGUGAAUACGUUCCCGGGCCUUGUACACACCGCCCGUCACGUCAUGAAAGUCGGUAACACCCGAAGCCGGUGGCCUAACCCGUCAGGGAGGGAGCCGUCGAAGGUGGGAUCGGCGAUUGGGACGAAGUCGUAACAAGGUAGCC
rnacentral:rRNA from 2 species